UACGUAGGGUGCGAGCGUUGUCCGGAAUUACUGGGCGUAAAGAGCUCGUAGGCGGUGUGUCGCGUCGGCCGUGAAAACCUGCAGCUUAACUGUGGGCUUGCGGUCGAUACGGGCAUCACUGGAGUUCGGCAGGGGAGACUGGAAUUCCUGGUGUAGCGGUGAAAUGCGCAGAUAUCAGGAGGAACACCGGUGGCGAAGGCGGGUCUCUGGGCCGAUACUGACGUGGAGGAGCGAAAGCGUGGGGAGCGAACAGG
rnacentral:rRNA from 1 species